CCUGGGGUGGUAGGAGGUAAAUUAGGGUUACUAAGGAGGGAGAGGAUAACCUGAAAAUCACGUCCUGCAGUUGUUUGAGCUCAAACGCCACCCGGCGCGGCACAUCAACAGUACGCAUAUAGGAUGGGUAACACCGCCUACUUAAAUCACCGCAUUUCAACAAAAACGAGCGUGGCGAGAUUGUCAUGUGUCAGCAAUGGCGACCACUUUCUGACAUAACCACUGUAAAGGACCCUGUGGUGAUGCCUGCAGCCCCUCGGCAACAUCAAAAGGAUGAGCUUGUUCAGAAUGACUACAGCUGAAUCACAUGUCCAACCCCAGGGACAGAACACGACCUGGUGUAGAGGGACAUCACUUUCAAAGAGCACCUGACCUUUUGGUGGAACAUUCACGCAGGCUGAACCCAUCCAUUCCCAGGAGGUCUCACUUAAAUUCAUGACUCUCACAGCAACUCUCACAUGUCAAACGUGUCUAAUCAGCCAAAGUGACUCUCAGGUGACAUCACAGUGUCACACGAAGGGCAGCAUUUUUUCCUUUGAGGAACUUGCCAGAGAGUAGACUGUCCUCUAAUCAAAAAACAACUGGUUUAAACCCCCACAAUAGCCACAGUUUAUUAUCAAGCUGUGGCCCACUCAUUCUCAGGAUAUGAAUGACGUUCUUACAGAAUAGUUGCUUACAACUAAAAAUGUGUGUCAACUCCAAUUAUAUUACUCUACUUUCACAUUAAAAUAUAACAUAAGAAAAGAUGUAAUAAAACUUACAGCAGUAAAAGAUACAAAGAAGAGUGUCCUAUAUUCCAGAUCAGGAUCAAUAUAUCACCUUUUUAACAAUGUGGGUGUGUGUUUAGGGACUACUGUCCACUUACACAAAUAUGUGCUUUAUUAUGGCUACACUACUAUGUUUAAAUAGUUUUAUUAAUCACAUCACUGCCACCUUUGCCUUGUAAUUUUGACUUUAAUUGCUUGUAAAGUUAGUAAUUUUACAUCUUGUCAUUAUUAUUAUAGUUUUAUAUACCUCUAAUUGUUUUUUUUAUCAUUAUUUGCUUUUAUAAUCUGUACUUAUUUUUGUUCUUAUAACACCAGAAUUUCUACCUUAUGGGAUCUAUAAAGAUUUAGCUUAUCGCAAGCUUGUAUUGCAGUACUACUGUUGAACCACCAGGGGUCACUGUGGACCUAUUAUACACUGCAAAGGCGUCUCCUAGCCGGAUCCGAGGACAGCAGACAGGAGACAGACAGACAGACAGACAGACAGGCUGCUGGUCCUUACAGCAAUUAGUUAGUAAUGGUCUGAUAUUAAGGCAAGUUAUAGUACGUUUCCCCACAAUGAACUGAAUGUAAAUCCCGAAUAAUGCUGCAAGAUACUGUAACUAUUCUAACCCAUAACUAUCCUCCAUUCUACCACACACACACACACACACACACACACACACACUCACACACACACACACACACACACACACACACACACACACACACACACACACACACACACACACACACACACACACACACACCAGUGGUCCCAGCCUGAUUGUGUCAGGGCUGCAGUGAUUUAUAACCUUACACUUUCGUACUGAAACUGAACACCUUUGCACUAAAUUAAAUAUGACCCGUUUCACUGCAGUCAUUUGAUGUCCUUGUCAGUGUUGAAAACGAGUUGUAAUCACCAUUAAACUAGAUUACAGUAAUCUAAAAGAAAUACAAGUCUGCAAUUGGUUGGAAAAAAAGAAGAAAUUCUGCUGAGAAGGUGUCUUGCUUUGGCUUCAGGGUUGAAAACGCGGAGUUGGGCUCGAAUUUUUAUUUUAUCUAUAACCCUCCCUCCCUUUAAUGUUGCUACCUUGCUGAUGAGGGUAAAACCAAAGCAGUUCUCUGAGUGCAAAAUCCCUGCAGACGGCUGAGUGAAGAUACGAUAUGACCCGCAGAGCUCUAUGUAGUGUUGUGGUGAGAGAGAGAAUAGAGUGUGUGUAGGGACAGUGGGUGUGUGGAAUACCGUUAAAGGGACAAAUAUCGACUUGCGAGAUUAAGUUCCCCUUAC